CUUUUUUUAAUAAAAGGAAAAAAAAAGACUGGAAUGUUACUGUGCAGAUUGCAUGGCGCCUGCACUAGGAUGACAUGCAAAUUUGUGAAGUGUUCCAUUUUUUU